rnacentral:lncRNA from 1 species
GAAGCAAAGGGGAAGUAGUGCUUAAAGCCGCCAAAAAUUACAGUUGCUAAAAGAAUCGUUGAAGGGUUUGGACCAGAAACUGAACGAUUUCAUGGUUGAGGUUUACAGAACAAUACAGGCUAUGAUAGAUCAUAUUAAGGAGUCCUAAAGGCAGAACCAAGCUCAGUUGGAGCAGCGAUUGGAACAGUUAGGAACAUGAUAACUACUAAUCAGGUACAAAACCCUAUUCCCGCUCCUUCUUCUAUGCAAGGAAUCCUGCAUGACCAAGGAGCAGGAGACCCGAGGAAGUAGUAACAGUAACGGGUGUCCACGGGUUCUCCUGGUGGGGAACAUAUCCCACUUAGAUAUUCCUGUUUUUUAUGGCG